UUUUAUUUGAGAGUUUGAUCCUGGCUCAGGAUGAACGCUGGCGGCGUGCCUAACACAUGCAAGUUGAGCGAUUUACUUCGGUAAAGAGCGGCGGACGGGUGAGUAACGCGUGGGUAACCUACCCUGUACACACGGAUAACAUACCGAAAGGUAUGCUAAUACGGGAUAAUAUAUUUGAGAGGCAUCUCUUGAAUAUCAAAGGUGAGCCAGUACAGGAUGGACCCGCGUCUGAUUAGCUAGUUGGUAAGGUAACGGCUUACCAAGGCGACGAUCAGUAGCCGACCUGAGAGGGUGAUCGGCCACAUUGGAACUGAGACACGGUCCAAACUCCUACGGGAGGCAGCA
rnacentral:rRNA from 1 species